AUAAACACAUUGAAUACACGUGGUUUUGAGGGUAUUCCUGUUUGCGGAUGGAAAAAAAUCAGAAAAUGCCGUGAACUAUUUCUUUCGGGGCAUAGGAGGCCACUUCCUGGGGUGCACACAGGAUGUUUAUAAACACAUUGAAUACACGUGGUUUUGAGGGUAUUCCUGUUUGCGGAUGGAAAAAAAUCAGAAAAUGCCGUGAACUAUUUCUUUCGGGGCAUAGGAGGCCACUUCCUGGGGUGCACACAGGAUGUUUAUAAACACAUUGAAUACACGUGGUUUUGAGGGUAUUCCUGUUUGCGGAUGGAAAAAAAUCAGAAAAUGCCGUGAACUAUUUCUUUCGGGGCAUAGGAGGCCACUUCCUGGGGUGCACACAGGAUGUUUAUAAACACAUUGAAUACACGUGGUUUUGAGGGUAUUCCUGUUUGCGGAUGGAAAAAAUCAGAAAAUGCCGUGAACUAUUUCUUUCGGGGCAUAGGAGGCCACUUCCUGGGGUGCACACAGGAUGUUUAUAAACACAUUGAAUACACGUGGUUUUGAG